AGAGUUUGAUCAUGGCUCAGGNANUGAACGCUGGCGGCGUGCUUAACACAUGCAAGUCGAACGAUGAAGCCCAGCUUGCUGGGUGGAUUAGUGGCGAACGGGUGAGUAACACGUGAGUAACCUGCCCUUAACUCUGGGAUAAGCCUGGGAAACUGGGUCUAAUACCGGAUAGGAGCGUCCACCGCAUGGUGGGUGUUGGAAAGAUUUAUCGGUUUUGGAUGGACUCGCGGCCUAUCAGCUUGUUGGUGAGGUAAUGGCUCACCAAGGCGACGACGGGUAGCCGGCCUGAGAGGGUGACCGGCCACACUGGGACUGAGACACGGCCCAGACUCCUACGGGAGGCAGCAGUGGGGAAUAUUGCACAAUGGGCGCAAGCCUGAUGCAGAGACGCCGCGUGAGGGAUGACGGCCUUCGGGUUGUAAACCUCUUUCAGUAGGGAAGAAGCGAAAGUGACGGUACCUGCAGAAGAAGCACCGGCUAACUACGUGCCAGCAGCCGCGGUAAUACGUAGGGUGCGAGCGUUAUCCGGAAUUAUUGGGCGUAAAGAGCUCGUAGGCGGUUUGUCGCGUCUGUCGUGAAAGUCCGGGGCUUAACCCCGGAUCUGCGGUGGGUACGGGCAGACUAGAGUGCAGUAGGGGAGACUGGAAUUCCUGGUGUAGCGGUGGAAUGCGCAGAUAUCAGGAGGAACACCGAUGGCGAAGGCAGGUCUCUGGGCUGUAACUGACGCUGAGGAGCGAAAGCAUGGGGAGCGAACAGGAUUAGAUACCCUGGUAGUCCAUGCCGUAAACGUUGGGCACUAGGUGUGGGGACCAUUCCACGGUUUCCGCGCCGCAGCUAACGCAUUAAGUGCCCCGCCUGGGGAGUACGGCCGCAAGGCUAAACUCAAAUGAAUUGANGGG
rnacentral:rRNA from 1 species